rnacentral:rRNA from 1 species
GACGAACCGUCCAAACGUUGUUCGGAAUCACUGGGCUUAAAGGGAGCGUAGGCGGGCUGCCAAGUCCGGGGUGAAAUCCUCCAGCUCAACUGGAGAACUGCCUCGGAUACUGGAAGUCUCGAGGAGGGUAGGGGCAUGCGGAACCGUGGGUGGAGCGGUGAAAUGCGUUGAUAUCCAUGGGAACUCCGGUGGCGAAGGCGGCAUGCUGGACCUUUUCUGACGCUGAGGCUCGAAAGCCAGGGGAGCAAACGGG